UAACGGGGCUAAACCAUGCACCGAAGCUGCGGCAGCGACACUGUGUGUUGUUGGGUAGGGGAGCGUUCUGUAAGCCUGUGAAGGUGUGCUGUGAGGCAUGCUGGAGGUAUCAGAAGUGCGAAUGCUGACAUAAGUAACGAUAAAGCGGGUGAAAAGCCCGCUCGCCGGAAGACCAAGGGUUCCUGUCCAACGUUAAUCGGGGCAGGGUGAGUCGACCCCUAAGGCGAGGCCGAAAGGCGUAGUCGAUGGGAAACAGGUUAAUAUUCCUGUACUUGGUGUUACUGCGAAGGGGGGACGGAGAAGGCUAUGUUGGCCGGGCGACGGUUGUCCCGGUUUAAGCGUGUAGGCUGGUUUUCCAGGCAAAUCCGGAAAAUCAAGGCUGAGGCGUGAUGACGAGGCACUACGGUGCUGAAGCAACAAAUGCCCUGCUUCCAGGAAAAGCCUCUAAGCAUCAGGUAACAUCAAAUCGUACCCCAAACCGACACAGGUGGUCAGGUAGAGAAUACCAAGGCGCUUGAGAGAACUCGGGUGAAGGAACUAGGCAAAAUGGUGCCGUAACUUCGGGAGAAGGCACGCUGAUAUGUAGGUGAAGUCCCUCGCGGAUGGAGCUGAAAUCAGUCGAAGAUACCAGCUGGCUGCAACUGUUUAUUAAAAACACAGCACUGUGCAAACACGAAAGUGGACGUAUACGGUGUGACGCCUGCCCGGUGCCGGAAGGUUAAUUGAUGGGGUCAGCGCAAGCGAAGCUCUUGAUCGAAGCCCCGGUAAACGGCGGCCGUAACUAUAACGGUCCUAAGGUAGCGAAAUUCCUUGUCGGGUAAGUUCCGACCUGCACGAAUGGCGUAAUGAUGGCCAGGCUGUCUCCACCCGAGACUCAGUGAAAUUGAACUCGCUGUGAAGAUGCAGUGUACCCGCGGCAAGACGGAAAGACCCCGUGAACCUUUACUAUAGCUUGACACUGAACAUUGAGCCUUGAUGUGUAGGAUAGGUGGGAGGCUUUGAAGUGUGGACGCCAGUCUGCAUGGAGCCGACCUUGAAAUACCACCCUUUAAUGUUUGAUGUUCUAACGUGGACCCGUGAUCCGGGUUGCGGACAGUGUCUGGUGGGUAGUUUGACUGGGGCGGUCUCCUCCUAAAGAGUAACGGAGGAGCACGAAGGUUGGCUAAUCCUGGUCGGACAUCAGGAGGUUAGUGCAAUGGCAUAAGCCAGCUUGACUGCGAGCGUGACGGCGCGAGCAGGUGCGAAAGCAGGUCAUAGUGAUCCGGUGGUUCUGAAUGGAAGGGCCAUCGCUCAACGGAUAAAAGGUACUCCGGGGAUAACAGGCUGAUACCGCCCAAGAGUUCAUAUCGACGGCGGUGUUUGGCACCUCGAUGUCGGCUCAUCACAUCCUGGGGCUGAAGUAGGUCCCAAGGGUAUGGCUGUUCGCCAUUUAAAGUGGUACGCGAGCUGGGUUUAGAACGUCGUGAGACAGUUCGGUCCCUAUCUGCCGUGGGCGCUGGAGAACUGAGGGGGGCUGCUCCUAGUACGAGAGGACCGGAGUGGACGCAUCACUGGUGUUCGGGUUGUCAUGCCAAUGGCACUGCCCGGUAGCUAAAUGCGGAAGAGAUAAGUGCUGAAAGCAUCUAAGCACGAAACUUGCCCCGAGAUGAGUUCUCCCUGACCCUUUAAGGGUCCUGAAGGAACGUUGAAGACGACGACGUUGAUAGGCCGGGUGUGUAAGCGCAGCGAUGCGUUGAGCUAACCGGUACUAAUGAACCGUGAGGCUUAACCUUACAACGCCGAAGGUGUUU
rnacentral:rRNA from 1 species